AUAGAAAUAGAUGAGAAAAGAGAAAUAGAUUUGAUGAGAAGAGAAAGAGAAUAGUUCAGAGAUAAGAGAUAUAUUUGAUUAUUAAUAAUCUUGGAUAAUCUCCUCUUUAUAAGUGAGUUCCUAUUUAUGUUUCUAUGGAUCUGCUCUAUACAGUUACAACUGACUGGAGACUAAUUACAAUAGAUUAGCAAAAUAGAAUCUCUCUGUUUAACUACUGGACUAACCCCUAACUGCUCUACUCCUUACUUGUAACAUUCCCCACUCCUUGAAAU
rnacentral:misc_RNA from 1 species